UUAAACAGCCUACCGUCAGGGACCCUGGCGGUAGGGUCCUGGAUAAGGUUGUGAGGGGUGGGGGAGGGGGUUGUGCUCCCCCACCCACUCAUUCACCCCCAUUCCCCAUUCUCACUCUUUCGAGCUAAAGGCCUCUUCUCCUCACACAAGGCAUCUCAAAUCUCACUCAUUUGCUUGAGAUUUUCCGGUGGAUCCAGAGAACUUUCAUCACCCAAGGUACCUCCCUCAUUCCCCUUCAUUUGGUUGGUUGGAAUCAUGUAUUUUGCUCAUUUUGUUGCAAUCCCUAGUUCAUGGUUUUGUUGUGGUGAAAUCAAUGUAUAUGAUGCAUUUAGGGUAAUGUUUGUGCUUUGACAAUGUACAGACGUGCUCUCGCAAGGCAAAUUGCAUUGUGCGGAACAACGGAUGAAGUGCAUGAGAUGGACUACCCUGGCCAGAUCAUUGACUGGCUAGUUAGGCAACCAUCAUCGGCGAUAGCUAGUCGAGCUUCUCGUUGGGCUUGGGUCCGUGAAAGAAAUGAUGUCAUUUGUCGCAACCUGGGGACGUAGUGUCAUUUGGACUAUAAUGGCAUGUACCCUUACCAUUUAUGUAACCUAUGGCAUUUGAACUUCUACUUAUGUUAUGUAAGCUAUGUCAUUUGAAUUCGUUCUUAUGUUAUGUACCUUAUGUCAUUUGGACCCAUGAGAAGUUUGUGUCUUAGGUCAUUCUAAAUAAGCUAUGUUUUGUGUUUGUCUUAUAUCAUUCGAUUUAAGUUUUGUUUUGUUCAAUUUCCUAUAGCAUGG
rnacentral:lncRNA from 1 species